UGUCCGGCCGAACACGGUGGCCAAUGUGAGACACGCGUCACUCACCGACCCACUCUCCUGAUGUGACCCACACGAUGCGUCGGGUUGUCCCGUUAAUAACAACACAUGAGUGGCAAGAACGACUCACGUCACAAACCGUACACGGAGGGUCACUGGAUGUACUUCCGGGUUGAUCGACGGUGGCCGGGAAGCGACAUGACGAAUCGAUUUUUAGAAUUUACAAAACACGUUCUUCAGACAGAUUAGUACGCGCUAAUCCAACGCGCUAGUACAAGCAGCCUGGCGUGGUUGUGAUGUUGGUUUUGCCUCAGCUCUCCGCAGAUGGGUCGAUUGACCUCCUUCUGGCGUCGACGUACGGAACGGCUGUUUUUUGUGACCCCCAGCACACGCUCCAAUAUGAUGCUAUGACAUCGUUGUGACGCAACAGAGACACACAACCAUCUGGAGAUGGGGUUUGAUCCCAAAGAAACAUGAAACAAGCAGCCUGGGACUUUUCCUUUGUCCAUCCUGCACCUAGAAAGAGGCUCAUCAUGACAGCCACAUUAAGGGCCUGUCUACCGUGAACUACACAGAGUUCACAAUCUUGGAGUCUUUGCGUCAUUUGAAAUGAAUGGAUGAGAGGCUCACAAUAAAAACAAACGGCAUUUGA